rnacentral:rRNA from 1 species
ACUGGGCGUAAAGGGCACGCAGGCGGUGACUUAAGUGAGGUGUGAAAGCCCCGGGCUUAACCUGGGAAUUGCAUUUCAUACUGGGUCGCUAGAGUACUUUAGGGAGGGGUAGAAUUCCACGUGUAGCGGUGAAAUGCGUAGAGAUGUGGAGGAAUACCGAAGGCGAAGGCAGCCCCUUGGGAAUGUACUGACGCUCAUGUGCGAAAGCGUGGGGAGCAAACAGGAUUAGAUACCCUGGUAGUCCACGCUGUAAACGAUGUCGAUUUGGGGGUUGAACUUUAGGUUUGGCGCCCGUAGCUAACGUGAUAAAUCGACCGCCUGGGGAGUACGGCCGCAAGGUUAAAACUCAAAUGAAUUGACGGGGGCCCGCACAAGCGGUGGAGCAUGUGGUUUAAUUCGAUGCAACGCGAAGAACCUUACCUACUCUUGACAUCCAGAGAACAUUCCAGAGAUGGAUUGGUGCCUUCGGGAACUCUGAGACAGGUGCUGCAUGGCUGUCGUCAGCUCGUGUCGUGAG